AUACUUACCUGGCGGCAGAGUCCACCGCUCAUUAAGGGUGGAUUCUCGUAGUGUCCCACCUUCAUGGCACAACGAAGAUGGGCACCAUGCCAGCUGUCUUCGGGCACCUGGGCUGCUUAAUUUUUGAUUUAC
rnacentral:snRNA from 1 species